GGAGGUAUGGUUUAAGUGGUAGAACUCCUGCCUAGAAAGCAGAAGGCCUUGAGUUCAAAUGCCAGUACCACCA
rnacentral:tRNA from 1 species